rnacentral:lncRNA from 1 species
AAAUUCUCUGUUGAUUUUUAUCUUGAGGAUAACAAAGAAAACUUUGUGUUGUUCUUUGAAAGGAUUCAAGAAUUCUUGGGAGAUUUUACAAAAGUUAGUUUUAUUUCUUCUUUACCUUCAUAUAAGCAUGUUUGAAUGUUUUCUCUAAAUUUUAUAUGUUUCUAGUUGAAUUUCUUUUGCAUGACGUUCACACGCUUCCGCUAUGGGAAUUUCAUUUCUUCAUGUUUAACUUUAGAACAAUAUGUAUGCUUGCACAAAUUUAGCUUCAUAGACAUGUUGAUAUCAUAAAAGUGUAAAUGAAUUAAUUUCUCAUAUUGUUUAAAAGAAUAAAAUACAAUGUAAUUUCGGUAGCAACAUAUGCUAUACAUUCUGUCAAAUACUAUAGAAUUAAUAUGGAAAUAAUAGUACUUGUCCUCUAGUAUGUACAAUACACUAUAUAACUCUAUAAAAUAAAUCCACUUAUCAUAUAAUAUUUAACCAAUAAUUCAAAUUUAUUAAAUUUGAGAAAAACAAAUAACAUAUUUUGAUUGAUAGCAAUAUAAAGAAGGUAAGAUCAACCCUGAGAUUCUUCCCAAAUUAUAAAAAACUUUUUGAAAGAUUUAUCUUGAUCUCUCUUGGCCGAGUGCAUCAUCGAGAGAGUGCGUUUUCAUUAAAAAAUUGAAAUUGAGGUUAACUCUUCUCGGGCCAAAUUUGUCAUGAGAGUCCUUGUUGGGAUUUAUGUGUUCUAAAGUCUUCUUUGAUCCGAGAUCAUACAAUAACCUUGAAUUUUUUCAAUUAAUGCACAAAUUAAUAUUGCAUAAUCAAUGAUCCUCAGCCAAAGUUGCCUCUAGAUAACCCCAAGAUCAUACUAAAUAAGCAUUAUGUCAAUGAUAUUGUUAAUUUUUUCAAUUAUGUCAAUGAUCUCGGGCCAUUGUUGCUCUAAGAUGACCCCAAGAUCAUACCAGAUAAGCAUUAUGUCAAUGAUAUUGUCAAUUUUUUCAAUUAUGUCAAUUUUUCCAAUUAUGUCAAUUUUUCCAAUUAUGUCAAUGAUUCUAGGCUAAUAUUGCCCCGAGAUGGCCAAAGAUCAUACCACAUAAGCAUUAUGUGAAUGAUAUUGUCAAUGUCUCCAAUUACGUCAAUGAUUCCAGGUCAAUAUUGCUUCAAGAUGACCCUGAGAUCCAACUACAUAAGCAUUAUGAUGUUAAUGAUAUUGUCAAUUUUCCUAAUUAUGUCAAUGAUCCCGGACCAAUGUUGCCUCGAGAUGGCCCGAGAUCCAACUACAUAAGUAUUAUUAUGAUGUCAAUGAUAUUGUCAACUUCCCCAAUUAUGUCAAUGAUCUUGGACCAAUGUUGCUCCGAGAUCCAACUACAUAAGCAUUAUGUCAAUGGUAUUGUUAACUUCCCCAAUUAUGUGAAUGAUCUCAUAUCAAUAUUGUCUCAAGAUGGUCUUGAGAUCCAACUAUAUAAGCAUUAUUUGAAUGAUAUUGCAUAUUUUUAUUAAUAAUGUUACAAAAUUGCAAUUAGAAUUCGUAGACUUUUCUACCAAAAGAGAUGUUUACAAGUUAAUGACUUGGAUCAAAUAUCACUAUUUAAUGACUCUGAUUAAGUGUCACUAUUUAAUUACUGUUUUUAAUAAUAGUUAAAUGAUGAUGCAAUGAAAGUGUCAUAGCAUGGGAAAGUUUGUAAUUUUCC